UUCUGGUUGAUCCUGCCGGAGGUUACUGCUAUCGAGGUUCGACUAAGCCAUGCGAGUCGAAUGUAGCAAUACAUGGCGUACUGCUCAGUAACACGUGGACAACCUACCCUUAGGUCGGGGAUAAACCCGGGAAACUGGGUAUAAUACCCGAUAGUCCUCGGAUGCUGGAAUGCACCGAGGUCUAAAGCUCCGGCGCCUAAGGAUGGGUCCGCGGCCUAUCAGGUAGUAGUGGGUGUAGCGUACCUACUAGCCUACGACGGGUACGGGUUGUGAGAGCAAGAGCCCGGAGAUGGAUUCUGAGACACGAAUCCAGGCCCUACGGGGUGCAGCAGGCGCGAAAACUUUACAAUGCUGGAAACAGCGAUAAGGGGACCUCGAGUGCCAGGUUACAGAUCUGGCCGUCGUGAUGCCUAAAAAGCAUUGCAUAGCAAGGGCCGGGCAAGACCGGUGCCAGCCGCCGCGGUAACACCGGCGGCUCGAGUGGUAACCGUUAUUAUUGGGUCUAAAGGGUCUGUAGCCGGCCGGAUAAGUCUCUUGGGAAAUCUGGCAGCUUAACUGUCAGGCUUUCAGGAGAUACUGUCUGGCUCGAGGCCGGGAGAGGUGAGAGGUACUUCAGGGGUAGGGGGAAAUCUUGUAAACUGAAGGACCACCA
rnacentral:rRNA from 1 species